GUGCUCGCUUUGGCAGCACAUAUACUAAAAUUGGAACGAUAUAGAGAAGAUUGGCAUGGCCCUUGCGCAAGGAUAACACGCAAAUUCAUGAAGCAUUACAUAUUUAA